GAACACAAAAUGGCGACACGUGGUUAGCAUUCGUCGCCAACGAGAAAUUGGGGUCGGCCCGAAAGCUCUAGAAUGCACCCCUCUUCCUCCCCGGGGCCUUCCACCUCCGCGAGUUUUAUGACUUAAAAAAGCCCACAGGCUGGUCUGAAGAGGAAGACAAACAUAAAGAUGAAGUGCUUAAUUCAAGGUCACACAAUGUCGGGGAUGGACCUCCAGAUUUCCUUACUGACCUGCAUUAUCUUGUGGAUACCUGAGUGAAUUCCACACCACCCAUUUUAUAGAUGAAACCACUGAGACAUGGAGCAAUUGACUGAGUAGUCACUGCCCCACCCCUGCCUGGAGCCUCACACAUGACUCGCCUCCUCUCAGUGACCACAGUACUUAUCCUGUAUUACAUGAAGGAAAUGAAAUAAAAAGACUGCAGCCCCACUCCCAGCUACUCAGUGAGGUGGUAGCUAGGUGGAGUCUCACUCUGUAGCCCAAGCUGGAGUGGCGUGAUCUCGACUCACUGCAACCUCCGCCUCCUGGGAUCAAGUGAUUCUCGUGCCUCAGCCUCCUGAGUAGCCGGGACUACAGGUCACAGAAUUUUCCACACUCCUUGACAGAGGUGCUUAACCCUUAUCCAUCAGCAUUCUCAGACAGCACCUCCGGUUAGGGACAGUAUCUGACCGUCCGACAUCCCUGCAGCCCCCAUGUGUCACA
ensembl:lncRNA PCBP1-AS1 PCBP1 antisense RNA 1